rnacentral:rRNA from 1 species
GACGAACGCUGGCGGCGUGCUUAACACAUGCAAGUCGAACGGAGCGGCGGACGGGUGAGUAAUGCCUAGGAAUCUGCCUGGUAGUGGGGGAUAACGUCCGGAAACGGGCGCUAAUACCGCAUACUAUCAGAUGAGCCUAGGUCGGAUUAGCUAGUUGGUGGGGUAAAGGCCUACCAAGGCGACGAUCCGUAACUGGUCUGAGAGGAUGAUCAGUCACACUGGGACUUAGACACGGUCCAGACUCCUACGGGAGGCAGCAGUGGGGAAUAUUGGACAAUGGGCGAAAGCCUGAUCCAGCCAUGCCGCGUGAGUGAUGACGGCCUUCGGGUUGUAAAGCUCUGUUAAUCGGGACGCGGUACCGGAAUAGAAAGCCACGGCUAACUACGUGCCAGCAGCCGCGGUAAUAC